rnacentral:tRNA from 1 species
GCAAGUAUGCUGGAAUGGUAGACAGGUGGUUCUCAAGCAACCAUGGCAUUAAGUCAUAUGGGUUCAAGUCCCAUUACUUGUA